rnacentral:lncRNA from 1 species
GAGAGACUAAUAUAUAUAUUAAUUAAAAAGUACUAACAUAAAUAAUUAUUUGCCGAAAACGUUUUCUCUCAUACUCCAUAAGAAAUAACAAGCCACCAUUUUCUUAGUUGACCUAAACACGACACACAUAUGUAGACACAGAACCAAACCCCAUAUUUCACCAUGAAUAAUUGGCUUGCCAUUUUGAAUUUGACAACCAAAGUGGUGCAAUUUGAUAGGUUUUUGAACAUUGUCACUCACAUUCGCAAAAAAAGAAAAAAAAGAAGAAGAGAACUUUAUCACGUAGAAUGACAAAUGUUAACACAUACCUGCAGGCUGCAUAUAGAAAAUUCUAACACAUUAGUCCACCAUUUUUUUUAAUUGUGACGUACAUUUGUUUUUGAAAAAAUAGAAAAUAAGCGUCCCCUCUGGUUUCUGAAAAACCCUCAAGAAUGAGACAACAUUGGGGUUUUUUUAUAAAUAAAAUAGAAAAGAUAAAAAAUUACACCGAAAAAGCACCGAAAAUCUGAAGGACCUAUGAGAUUUGAGAGGGGGGUGAAGGAAGUCAGUGGAGUCAAAGGUUUGAUGACGGCGGAUGAGGUUUGACCCAAACAAGGCAGGCAGUCGUGUGACGUUUUUACAACUCUAAGUCUCUCUGCCGCUCUGUCUCUCUCUCUUUCUCUCUCAACAAUGUUGAAAUUGAACAUAGCCAUAGCUACCUAGCUACGUCUGUUUAUAUAAUUUAAAUAAUUUAAUAUCAGUAAUGGUCCAAACUUAAAAUAUUGAAUUGCUUCUUGGAAGGUAUUUGGCUAAUACCCG